CCUACGGGUGGCAGCAGUGGGGAAUAUUGGGCAAUGGAGGAAACUCUGACCCAGCAACGCCGCGUGAAGGAUGAAGGUUUUCGGAUUGUAAACUUCUGUCGCGAGGGAUGAAGAAUGACGGUACCUCGUACGAAAGCCCCGGCAAACUACGUGCCAGCAGCCGCGGUAAUACGUAGGGGGCGAGCGUUGUCCGGAAUGACUGGGCGUAAAGGGAGUGUAGGCGGGGUAAUAAGUCAGAUGUGAAAUCCUGUAGCUUAACUACAGAACUGCAUUUGAAACUGUUACUCUGGAGUGUGGGAGAGGUAGGUGGAAUUCUUGGUGUAGGGGUAAAAUCCGUAGAGAUCAAGAGGAAUACUCAUUGCGAAGGCGACCUGCUGGAACAUUACUGACGCUGAUGCACGAAAGCGUGGGGAGCAAACAGGAUUAGAUACCCCAGUAGUC
rnacentral:rRNA from 1 species